rnacentral:rRNA from 1 species
GAUGAACGCUGGCGGCGUGCCUAAUACAUGCAAGUCGAACGAGGUGCUUUUGUAGCAAUACGAGAGUAUCCUAGUGGCGAACGGGUGAGUAACGCGUUGGUGACCUACCCCAAAGUGUGGGAUAACAGUCCGAAAGGAUUGCUAAUACCGCAUGUGGUCAUUGGGUUUAGAAACUGAUGACUGAAGGGGCAAUUCGCGUUGGGGGGGACCUGGUUCCCAGCGGCUAGUUGGUGAGGUAAUGGCUCACCAAGGCGACGACGGGUAGGGGACCUGAGAGGGUGACCCCCCACAAUGGAACUGAAACACGGUCCAUACACCUACGGGUGGCAGCAGUAGGGAAUAUUGCGCAAUGGGCGAAAGCCUGAAGCAGCAACGCCGCGUGUGUGAUGAAGGCCUUCGGGUCGUAAAGCACUUUUCUGGGAGAUGAGAAAGGACAGUAUCCCAGGAAUAAGUCUCGGCUAACUACGUGCCAGCAGCCGCCGUAAGAC